rnacentral:rRNA from 1 species
UACAGAGGGUGCGAGCGUUGUCCGGAUUGACUGGGCGUAAAGCGCACGCAGGCGGACUCUUAAGUCGGUGGUGAAAUCCUGGAGCUCAACUCCAGAACUGCCUUCGAUACUGAGAGUCUCGAGUCCGAGAGAGGUGAGUGGAACUGCGAGUGUAGAGGUGAAAUUCGUAGAUAUUCGCAAGAACACCAGUGGCGAAGGCGGCUCACUGGCUCGGUACUGACGCUGAGGUGCGAAAGCGUGGGGAGCAAACAGG